AGUGGAGGCAAGAGUAUCUUGCUGGAGAUCCCUGCCUACUGAUGUCCUUCACAAGCAUGGAAGUCUGUGUAAUGUCAUGGAACUUAAGAUGUAUGAGGAGUUGCAUUACCUAAAAUCAGCUUUAUUUUACUCAGUGCCAGACCUCCCUGGAGUGAGGAUAUAUGAGGCUUUCUGAGAUUAGUCUGUCCGUCUGACCCUGGACCUGUGAUACGGAUCUCAUUUGUUAGUAACAGGAGCAUUUUAACUGUGUGCAGCUUGAGGGCAUUCCAAAUAGACUGAGAAAAUCUUGUCCCCCCUAGGCUAUUCAUUGCUACUUCUGGAUGGCUUCAGGGUCAGGAAAAUAAACCUGGAGAACCACAGGCCCUGGUCCCCUAACUGUCCAGAUGUAGAAUCUGAGUGGGCCAAGGUGCCCUCUGGCCUGUGUCUGAGCCCACUUUGCAUGGAAGCCAAUGCAAAGAGAGAAUUGUAUGCAUAUAAGUUUAGCCUUGGGGGAGCCUUGGCGUGCAGUUCAAUCCCAUGGGGAAGACAUAGCCUAAGCAGAGCCUUGUACCUCUCCACAUCCCCACUUUUAUUUUACAUAGUAUCUCUUGUUACCUUACUGGAGCGUGAACUCCUUUUAAAAUAAUUUACUAGGCUUCAGAAUUUAUUUAUAUUUUUAAAACAAACAAACAAAAACCCUCCUGUGAUCCUAGAUUUGGAUCUAGUUGUCUCUCUGGAGCCAUGAUAUUUUUUCUUCAGUUUACCUUUUCCUGUAAAGAAGAGGAUCUCACUAAAGGUUGUUCUUUGCAAGAGUGUAUUGUUUCCUUCUCAUUUAGUAUAACAUAAAAGAUCAUUCAUUUUCCUCUCUUGCCAUCCCAUAGCCAGAUCAGCUGGCCUUCUGCAAGGAUAAUCCUCCAUCAAACGUUCAGGAACAUUCAAUGCUUUGACUCUUGAACCACAGUGGUAAUUUCUUUCUAACUAAAGGAUGUGAACUUCCCUUGAAUCAAAAAUUCAACUUGGAACGUCAAGAGACUGAAGAAAUAUUGCAGUCAGAAAUUGAAGAUUUUUUUUUUCUCUCUGUCUUCCAGGAUAUUUUUUAACUUGAGGAAUUUGGGCAGUUUUCUGUGAUUCAUGGAAGCCAUUAUAAAAUGAGCUAGGUAUCUGGGAGCAGAAUUUCUUAGUAGGUCACUGUCUAUACAUGUUAUGGCCAUAUCAGUAGCAAUCUGUGUUGACCUCAGCUAUUGUGUCUGAUAUGCUAAUGAUCAAAACUGCUAGGAGCUUGUUUACAGAGACAGUCAUUGACAUCUCCUGUGGUACGCUAUUUCCUACACUGUUUAAAUGGGGAUAUUCUGAACCUGGUGACAAUUGUACAUGUACUGUGGAAGAGGAGGGGUGGAAGCACUGAUUCAGAAAAUCGUAGUACAGUAUGCUUUUUAUGAACUCAGUAUACAGAUAGUACUAUCAUUAAUACAUGAAUCCUCAGUUUACUUCAUGAGUAAGCAAAAAAGAAAAGACAGAAAAUGGGGGGGAAAAAAAAAGACGCUCAACUUAGUUACCUAUUCUUAACUGCUGACAAAGUAUUGACCAAUAUUUGAAACAAGCUUAGUCAAAAUGAGCAAUAUGAAAAUGUAAAAAGUUAAUAACUUUUUAGCUGUUCAAAAUAUUUUUCUUAAAAGAAAGUAGGUUUUGCCAGUGAAAUUAUUUGUAAAUCAUUUUCCUAAUUAAGAGAGCAUGCUUGAUAUGAUCAAAUUGUGUAACUAGUUUCUACAUUUUGUACCCAUCUUUUGCGUUUGGAAAAUGGACAAAUUUAAAAAUUUUCAGAACUGAUAAAAGGAAAGACUCCUUCCACCACCACCACCCUACCCAUAUACAUUACUUCAUGAAAUUGCAGAGCUUGAAUUAAAAUAAGAUCUAUCCUAAUUCAAAGAUCCCCAUGAGAGGGCUCAUUAAAUGGAAAAUGUUGGAUCCAUUCCUCUGUUGAAGAUAAACAGGGAACAAAGAUCUUUAUAUAUUUAUUUUCUGAAUUGCAUACUUCACUUCACAAAGUGAAUCAAAGCUGGGCAGAAGAGUGGAGCAGCAUGAUAAUAAAGUGUUGG
ensembl:lncRNA